rnacentral:lncRNA from 1 species
AUGAAAAAAACUACUUUCACUUAUGACCCCAAAAUAGUUGGGCUUCAUCAACUCUACUCCAGUGCUGAUGUCUCUAAACAUUUAUUUCAAGGAGCCCCAAAUGAGAUUAAAACUAAAGAAAUGUUACAAAAUUUGGUAUCUAGAGAAAAAUAUACCAGUUCUGACAUUGAUGCUGUUUUUCUAAAAAGCUCCACUGACAACUCAAAUUCUCAGGCUCCCAAAUCUGUGACUCACCCCCUAACUCACACAAGUGAAAGUACUCACAAAUUUCUAGGUAAAGCAACUCUUAAAAGGGACACUUUAAGAGGAGAUGACACCAUCACUGUUUUCCCUGAAGACAAAAUGAUGGAAUACACCCUUAUUCCAGACCCAGAAAAAACAGUAAUCAUGGUAGAGGGAAGGAUGUUCCCAGAUGAACCUACAGAUCCCAUUGUUAUCACCUCUCCAUUAAAAAAUAAGAAUCAGUUCUUCAGGAAAGUCGUUUCAUCUGCUAUGUAUAACACUGAUGCCCAAGGUAAAGCAGAAAACAUCUUAUCAUCCCAAGCAGACAAUGUUAAAGGUAAAACUAAUAUGGCAGAGAUGCAAUACUCAUGGGAUAGCAUUAUUCCUUUGACUGAGUUUAAUGUCAUCCCUAAGGGCAAACUUUCUUUCAUCAAUGAAGAUACUAAAACUUUAAACAAAAAGGCUUCAAUCUCUUCUUUAUCUAAGAAUACAGUAAACAUUGUGGAUGACACCACUACUCCCUCCACUGAGAGUAGUUAUGAAAGAGGUAACUCUAUGCCGCCAGAAGACAAUAUUGGGUCCAGGGGAUUCCUAGCUCUACAAAUCCAAGAAAAGUCCAUGUUCACUAAUGCGUCAACUGAAAAUCUUGAAAUCUCUGACCCAGUGACAAAUAACUCCUUGGUUAAUUCUUCAAUUGCAUUGUCAAACAUGUUUAAGACAAUGAUUGAAUACCCUAAUUCUGUUAAUGAUGGUGAUAGUUCCACUAAAAAUAAAACUGAUCCCAAGCCCAACUCCUUAACCUCAACAAAAUUUCUCAUUAGUUCUACUACUUUUUCAGACAAUCCCACAAACAAUGAGUUUGAUUCACUGCCCUCAGUAAAUACAGAAACUACUGAUGUCUCUAAAACUGAGACAGAUAAAACAUAUUCUGAGCCUCAGAGAACAAUCAUGAAUGCCUUUUCUCCUACAAAAGUCUCUCAACAUAUGGUCUCUCAAAGAAGAAAAAUAGGUAUUUUUUCUGAUCAAAAAGAUCCAGCCACUAAAUUUGAUUUAAGUCACAUUGCAAAUGCAACCAUUCUCAAUUCAGCUAUGAGGAAAAUCCUUCCCUCAGUAACUGGGUUUAAUAAUCUGUCAAUGAGUAACAAUGUGGAAGAGGAAGUACAUAUUUCUAAAGCAGACAAUUUUUUUCCAAAAGAUGCAAGUACAUUGAAAGAUAAUUCUUUCACUGUUAAAUAUGAUGCUACUUCUACUAAACCUCAAGCAUACCACAAUUUAAAAGGAAUCAUUACAGUUGGUUCUGUAUUAACCCUUCCAGAAGUAUCUAGGUCUAAUGAUAAAAGCUCUUCGCUUGAAGUUGCUACUGGAGAAAGGAUCAUCACAAACACUCCCAUUGGGACAUAUGACCUACCACCAUGGAAGUCAAUUAUUCCUUCUGAUUUCACAACAUUCAUGAGCUCAUCUAAGUAUUCUGAACUUGAUCCAGUUAUCAAGAGGAAAAAAGAUACCACAACAAAGACUAAUAAUAGUAUUCCACCUGGAGAAAGAAAUACUCCAUCUGACAAAAUCAUUAUCUCACCUACUACCAUUCUUUCAAAAAAAGACACGAAAAACACUAUUAAUACUACUACUACUACUAAUAAUAAUAAAUUUGGAGAUGAGACUUCAAUAGGGAAAGAUAUAGCCACUGAAGUAGUUCUUAUCACAGAAGACAUUUCAGAAAAAUUACAUGACACCUUUUUGGCAAGGGAAAAUAUUCCAAGUGAUGAGGACAUAAUAACUAUUAUACCCGUUGACAAUGCCCUUGAGUAUGUUGCAGAUAACUAUGCCUUUGAACUAGUGAGGGAUGGAAAUGGUCCCCUUACAAGAAAGACCACACUUAGGAAAGACUCCAAAGUAUUUGACUCUCAUUCACCCCAUGCCAGUGCUGCAGCCUCUGAACGUGCAUCCCAAGGAUCUCUAACUGUUAUCAAAACUACCAAAAAAUACCAAGGCUUCAUUCCCAAAGAUAAAAACCUUAAUUUUGACAAUGAUGCUACUGUUCUCAAAAGGUCUUCUGUCAAUUUUAAUACUAAGGUUCCCAGAUCCAUGAUUCAUUCUCUUACUGAUUCAAGUUGGAUUUUUUUACCUGAGUUUCUAGGUGAAACAAUUGUGGAAAAUACUUCUCCAAUUGGUGAUAACACCAUCAACAUUAUCCCUGAAGGCAAAAGAAUGGAGUACCUGUUUGAUUCAGACCCAGAACUAAUGAUAAGAAUGGGAGGGAGCAAGAUAUUCACUGAUUCCACUGAUCCUGCUGUGAUCACCUAUCCUAUAGAUUAUAAAAACCAAUUCAACAGGAAAGGUGUAUCGUUUGCUUAUUAUAAUAAUGAUGUACCCGAAGAAGCAAAAGCCACUAUAUCAGCCAAAUUGGAUGCAAAUAAACGUAAACCAAACUUGGCAGAUAUACUUCAUUUGAAGAACAACAUUAUUCCUUUGGCUGAGUUCAAUGUCAUUCCUGAUGAUGAUCUUCCCUUCAUUGGUAAAAAUACUGAGAAAGCAACCAACAGAGCUUCAAUCUUUUCCUCAUCUAUGAAUAAGGCAGCCAGGACUAUGGCUGAUUCCAUUGUUCUUCCCACUGAACGUAGUUAUGGAGGAGGUGAUUCAAUGUUGCCUGGAAAAGAUGUUAAAUCUAGAGGAUUCCCAUCUCUGUUAACACUUGCCAUACUUAUCCCGAAUUCCUCACCUGAAAAUCCUGAAACUUUUGGCUUAAUGACAGAUAAAUCUUCAUCUGAAUCUUUACUAAAUAGGUCAGAAAUGUUAGAAAGAGCAAAUGAAUAUGCCGAUGCCAUUAAUGGAGAUGAUGUUUCAGGGAGACAGGUCACAAUAACUCAAGCUGACAUUCAUUCCUAUCCAUUGGCUUGGAAUGUUUCUCCAAUUGGAUCAACUACUUUCUCAGAUAGUACCACAGAUGAUGAGGCUGACUCAUUUUUCUCUCUGAAUACAGAUACUCCUGAGAAUUAUAUACCUAAGACUGACAAAAUAUAUUUCAAAUCUCAAAGAGCAAUGAUGAAAGCCUUUUCCCUUACAGAAGACUCUCAAGAUAGUGUCUAUGAAAGAAAGAAAAUAGCUAAUCUUUUUGAUCAAGAAGAUCCAGCUUCUAAAUUGGAAUUACUUAAUUUUAAAAAUACAACAGUUUUCAUCCCAGCUAUGAGGAAAAUCCUUCCAUCAGGAACUGAGCCCAACCCUCUCUACAAGGGUAACAGCAAUAUGGAAGAUUCUUUUACUGUUAAAUUUGAUGCUACUUCCUUCAAACCUCAAAGACCUCCCAAUUUAAAAGGAAUCUUUUUAGCCAAUCCCACAUUAACUCUUCCAGAAGAACCUAGGCCUACCUCUCAUGAUAAAGUUACUAACACAGGAGGGUCCAUCACAAACACUCCAACUGGACUACAUGGGCUUCAAUGGAGGUCAAAUUUUCCUCCUUCUUAUUUUACGACAUCCAUGAGGACUUCCAAAUAUUCUGAACUUGUUCCUGUUACUAGUAUGGGAAAAUACAGGACCAAAAAGAUUGAUCAUAACAUUCCACAUGAGAAAAUAAUUAUUCCAUAUGAUAAAGGUAUCAUUUCACCUACUGUCAUUACCUCUGAAAAAGACAUGGCGAACACUUUACAAGGGAAUAUAUCUGAGCAUAAAGACCUUCUAAAGAGAGAGAUGGCAGCUGAAUAUGAAAUCAUUUAUUUUACAGAAGACAUUUCAGAAAGAGUGGAUAACAUUUCUUCUACAUAUAAAAUCACUCCAGCAUAUUUGGACCAUACAGCUAUUAUGUCUGAUGACAGUGGAUCUGAAUAUGUCUCAGAUAUGCAUACUGCAGAAUUAGAAGAUAGAGCAGAUAAUUCCCUGAUAAAAAUGAGCACACUCAUAUAUGCCCCCAAGACACAUGUGUCUCAUGCACCACAUACCACAGUUACUCCUCCAGACAGUCUAUCUAAAAUAAUAUUCCCAGUGUUCAAAGCCAGAGAAAACUACCAAGCUACGAUUCUGAGACAGGAAAACAGCACUGACACUGAUGUCAUUGCUCUCAAGGAUUCUAAUGCCAAUGUCAAUACCAAAGCUCACAGACCCACAACUCACUUCCUAAUUGACGCAAGUGUAAAUUUUCCUUCUAGUUUUUCUGACAAAACACCUGUGGGAAAAGGUACCAUAAAUGAUGAUGAUGGCACCAUAAUUCCCUCUGAAGGCUUUGAUUUAGAACAUAAAAUAAUUGAGCAUUCCCUUUCUCCAGACAUAAAACUCGUAGCUGAUAGCAAGACAUUCACAACGGAUACUACUAAUCAUGCUUUUAAAAACAGUGCUAAUUUUCUCAGGAGAAACAUAGCACCUAUCAUUUAUAAGACAUUUACACCCCAGAGAGGAGACACUACCACAUCCAGUAUAUCUGACUUUACUGAAGAUCAAACAGGUAUAGCUACAGUAUAUGAUUCAAGGUUUAGUAAUUUUCCUUCAGCUCAGCCUUCCAGUGAUGUCAUCUCCAAUGUGAAAGAAAACAAAGAAGAUGCAAUCAAGACGGCUCUUACUUUCUUUUAUCCUUUGAAAAAGAUGUCUGCCAACAUGCAAAAUGCUCCUGCUACUUCUACUAAGAACAAAAAUAACAUUGACCAUUAUAGCCUUCCAUCAUCGGGGAGUGUCAGGUCUCUAAAACUUGCAUAUAUGGGACUACCUGAAAUUCUCAUCCUAACUUCUAAAGUCCCUACUAAAGAAACCGCAUCUCCCAAACUUAUAAAAGGCACAAACCUCUACUACCCAACAGUGUUAAUAUCAGAGCCUGUGUCUAUAGACUCACCUUACUUCAAUAAAGGCAUUGUCUCAAAAGGAAAAAAUACUAAAAGUCAAAUAGUCCCCUUUGUCUAUACUGUCCUCCAAGCUGAUUCUACAGGUUCUUCAGACAACAUGGCUAAUGUCAAACCUAGCACAUCUGCUACUGUUGUCACCAAAAGCAAAAUUUUUGGUACUGAUGAAUUUCGUGAUCAAAAUGCAGAACCCAAGAAAACAACCACCAAGUUUUCUUCUCUUUUUCCUAAUGAAUAUAGUAAACCAAAUUUCUAUUACACAAGGAAAAUAACUAAAGCUUCUGCAGUGAAAGACACAGCUGAACUGAAUCACCUUACAGAUGUAAAUAGAAUAGGAAAUGAUCCAGUUAUUCAGGUGGAAACAAACUCUCUAAAAGAUGCUGACCUAAAGCCUUAUCUUGUGAAUAAAAAUGUCAUUGCUGAUAAUAAAUCAGUGAACGAGGAUUCUGACCGUGUCCCUGUAGCAGCUUACUCAAGCUGUCACAUGCCAAAGGAUUCCCUCCCAGAUGGAUCUGGUCCUCAGGGUCAGGUCCUUGAGUUCAUUACUGGGAACUCAAACUUGCUAACAGAAGUAAUUACCACUAUUCCUACUGAUGAAAAAUCUUUAUCUUACACAGAGAUCAUUUCCAUGGUAGAAGGAAAUUCUCAGUUGGAAUUAAAUUAG